GCAGAAAUUAGUCCUAUUAAAAAAAAAAUAUUAAAAAAUUCUAAACUAGACAGAUUAGGUUGGCUCAUAAAACAGUUACAGCAUUGUCUGGGUUCCUAUGCACAUGCAAACAGCAAAAGGGAACACUGCCAGCUCAGUUGUCAAAGCAGAGAUUGAUAACAUUUUAUGGGAAGCCACUGACCCCCUGUGCCAGUGUCAGUGAGGGUGGCUGUGCCUCUGUGUGAGUGACACCUCUCUGGAGGCUCAUCUGCACAGCCCAGAGCUGGGGCUGCCAGCCUGGAGAGAGUGCCCAGCAGGCUGAGUGCCAGCCCCAGACACACAUCCAUGGACCUGCUGCUGGGAUUCAUCACCACCAAGGGAAGCAGCAGCGACCGCCGCUGUCGGGGCAAGGUGCCAGAACACAUGGACAGCCUUGUGCUGCCCUGCCUCUGAGCUUGUUUUCAUCACAGGGAUUUCAGCAGCAGCCAGACUAGAGAGUAAAAAUGCAGAAGAUUAUUCUGCCUGGUGUGUCCUGCUGCCCCAGUCAAACAAGCCAACCAGCCUGGCCCUCCCUGCCAUUGUCACGGUGUCACACACGGAACAAUUGUGGUUCCCAUCUACACAAGUGUUUCUACAGAAUCCAACAUUCCAUUUUCACGGAUCAUUGUCAUUCCCAGCCAGUGUAAGCAACCAUGGAAACAGAAGAAACCUGGGGCCAGGUUCAAGUUUAGAGAAACUGCCACCUGCAAUAACUGAAUUGUGCCUGCUUUAUUUUCAACACCUUGAUGCUGCACUGUGAUUUGGAAAGGACUGUGAUCUUCAUAUCCACAUGAAAUGGAUGAAAAAGUAAACAUCUCAAAGCAGGAAUGAGUUUUAUGAUAAAUUUUCACAAAUUAAUGAGAAAUUUGCUUGUUUGGGACACUUAGAAGAAUAACAGGUCCUACUUAAAUGAUAUUAAGGUCCCUUACAUAAAGGAUUCUUCAAAGUUACACUGACGAGCAAGAAGGGAACAAAUUUGAGGUAACCAUGCUUCUCAGACAAAAACACUGAAGAGACAAACAUAAAAAAAGGAACUUCUCCAAACUUCACUGCCUUAAAAAUAUUUUUUUCUUUUAACAGAUUUUACCUGUAGUAGAUUUACAAAACUGAGCACAGGAAUAACAUUCUGUAUGAGCAACACCAUAAAUACAGUGAAAUUACUAAAAAGAGA